ACGCAAGCACAUGCGUGGUAGCAAAGGUUGGCUCGUGGGUUGAAAAACUAAGAACUCGACUUGAAAAAAGAAGACAUAGUGCAGAUAAUGGAACAACUGCAGGCCUUAAUAGAGAGAGUCCAAACUGCAGAAGAAACACGGAGUUAAUGAAAGUGAAGAAACGGAAAGCUUUUAUUCUGCGUCGGAGAAUACUGCGAUUUCUCAACGCCCUCUGCAUAGGCCGCUGCGUGCC